UACGUAGGGUGCAAGCGUUUGUCCGGAAUUAUUGGGCGUAAAGAGCUCGUAGGCGGCUUGUCGCGUCGGCUGUGAAAACCUGGGGCUCAACCCCGGGCCUGCAGCCGAUACGGGCAAGCUAGAAUUCGGUAGGGGAGACUGGAAUUCCUGGUGUAGCGGUGAAAUGCGUAGAUAUCGUGAGGAACACCAGAGGCGAAGGCGGUUACCUGGACAGUUACUGACGCUCAGGCACGAAAGCAAUGGGGGAGCAAAAGGG
rnacentral:rRNA from 1 species